GAUGAACGCUGGCGGCGUGCCUAAUACAUGCAAGUCGAACGAAACUUCUUUAUCACCGAGUGCUUGCACUCACCGAUAAAGAGUUGAGUGGCGAACGGGUGAGUAACACGUGGGCAACCUGCCCAAAAGAGGGGGAUAACACUUGGAAACAGGUGCUAAUACCGCAUAACCAUAGUUACCGCAUGGUAACUAUGUAAAAGGUGGCUAUACUACCGCUUUUGGAUGGGCCCGCGGCGCAUUAGCUAGUUGGUAGGGUAAAGGCUUACCAAGGCAAUGAUGCGUAGCCGAAGUGAGAGGGUGAUCGGCCACAUUGGGACUGAGACACGGCCCAAACUCCUACGGGAGGCAGCAGUAGGGAAUCUUCCACAAUGGGCGAAAGCCUGAUGGAGCAACGCCGCAUGGGUGAAGAAGGUCUUCGGAUCGUAAAACCCUGUUGUUAGAGAAGAAAGUGCGUGAGAGUAACUGUUCACGUUUCGACGGUAUCUAACCAGAAAGCCACGGCUAACUACGUG
rnacentral:rRNA from 1 species